rnacentral:rRNA from 1 species
UGAGUACGAGAUGCUACGGCAUCGAAGCAGUCUAUGUCAUACUUCCAAGAAAAGCUUGCACUGUCAUAAACAAAGAAUGCCUGUACCAUAACCGACACAGGUGGGUAGGUAGAGUAUACUAAGGGCGCGAGAUAACUCUCUCUAAGGAACUCGGCAAAAUGACUCCGUAACUUCGGGAGAAGGAGUGCCUUAUUUCUAAGGUUGCAAUAACAAGAUCCAAGCAACUGUUUACCAAAAACACAGGUCUCCGCUAAGUCGUAAGACGAUGUAUGGGGGCUGACGCCUGCCCAGUGCCAGAAGGUUAAAGAAGUUGGUUAGCAUUAGCGAAGCUGAUAACUGAAGCCCUGGUGAACGGCGGCCGUAACGAUAACGGUCCUAAGGUAGCGAAAUUCCUUGUCGGGUAAGUUCCGACCCGCAAAAGGCGUAAUGAUUUGGAUACUGUCUCGGAGAGGGGCUCGGUGAAAUAGACUUGUCUGUGAAGAUGCGGACUACCUGCACCUGGACAGAAAGACCCUAUGAAGCUUUACUGUAACUUGAGAUUGAAAUUGGACUUUAUUUGCGCAGUAUAGGUGGGAGGCGUUGAGAAUAAUCUUGCGGGAUUGUUGGAGCCAUCAGUGAGAUACCACUCUUGUAAUGUUAGAUUUCUAACUUUGUAUCAUUAUCUGGUCAAAGAACAGUUUCAGGCGGGCAGUUUGACUGGGGCGGUCGCCUCCCAAAGGGUAACGGAGGCGCACAAAGGUUUCCUCUGAACGGGUAGAAAUCGUAUCUAGAGUGUAAAGGCAUAAGGAAGCUUGACUGUGAGACCUACAAGUCGAGCAGGGACGAAAGUCGGUCUUAGUGAUCUGACGGUGCUGAGUGGAAAGGCCGUCACUCAACGGAUAAAAGUUACUCUAGGAUAACAGGCUGAUCUCCCCCAAGAGUUCACAUCGACGGGGAGGUUUGGCACCUCGAUGUCGGCUCAUCGCAUCCUGGGGCGGUAGUCCGUCCCAAGGGUUGGGCUGUUCGCCCAUGAAAGCGGUACGCGAGCUGGGUUCAGAACGUCGUGAGACAGUUCGGUCCAUAUCCGGUGUAGGCGUUAGAAUAUUGAGAGGAGCCUUCUCUAGUACGAGAGGACCGAGAAGGACAUACCUCUGGUGUACCAGUUAUCGUGCCAACGGUAAACGCUGGGUAGCUAUGUAUGGAGUGGAUAACCGCUGAAAGCAUCUAAGUGGGAAGCCCACCUCAAGAUAAGUAUUCUCAUC